UGUGGGAGUUGAUGAUAUCUCUUGUAUUCUGUAUUGGUGCACUCAGAUCAUAAGUUCUGAGACUUUUCUUCCACUGUUUUUCAUCUUCUAAAAGCCACUAAAUGUGAUGUUAAGCAUCAACAUAUGUGUACAUUUGUAAGCAUUUGAAUUAUGCUCACAUAGGAGUAUGCAACUCCCUUACCCCUCCAAAAUCCUGCAGACACUUUCCCCCACAAGAACCCCAUCUUAAGAUAUUCUGCUUGAAAAGAUUCUUUCUUGCUUUCCAUAUAGAAACAACUCUUCAAAUGUGUGCAUGAUGCCACAUUUCUCACUUCCAUCAAACUAUUUAACAUAGUUUCAUUUUUUACUUGAUGCUUUUGCCAGAGUUCUUUAGUUCCCAUAGUUCAGUAUAACCUGAUUAGCAACGAGACAUGCAACGAGAGCUCAACAACAAGAUGGCGCCGAGGAGGUAGGAGGGUUCCUGUUGAGCUCCGUGGUGAGAUUCCUCAAACUUGGACUUUCAAUCUGCUCCCCAAUUCUCUAACUUACCUUAGUUGCAUAGCUACUUAUAAGACAUCUCAGGGCACAGAGAGGACCUGACAAAGACAUCAGUAGUAGCAACUAGUUAGAGAAGGAGGAGAAGGAGAAGGAAGAACGAAUUGGGUUGAACGUGGUGCCGCCAUUUCAAACGCGGCCUAGAAACCCUGGAAUGUUGAUAUAUGGCCGGAGUCCUAUGACUGGAGUCCUCGGAGCUCACAGAAAAUAAAGAUCUAAGAGAGUAUAUGGUCCCAAGUCAUCAAGAGAACCAUUACUGAAGACUCUAAAUUCAAAAUCAGCCCUACCUGCCGUUCUACGAGUCCUGGAGGAGGUCGGAGAGUCUGGGGGGUUGGAGUUGAUUGUUGGAACCGGGCUUGUUGCUGAGUGUCUCUUCCCACGGCCGGGACUGCUGCGACCGCUGCCUCUCUGCAUUGGAGAGAGGCGGGGGUUUUCAGCAGUGACUGAAGACCCGGAUGCGGAGGGAUUGAGGGGGCAGCCCACUGAGCUCCCAUUUUGCUACCGGGUGUCUCCUCCUGCCCUGGGAUUGUUACGACCGCUGCUCCUCCGUGUUGGGGAGAGGCGGGGGGUCGUCAGCAGCGGAGGACUGUGGGACCUGGCUGGGCCUGUUUGUUUGUUUACACUGGCGGUAAAGUUCAACAGCCACGGAGCAGUUUGGAGAGGCUCUGGUGGGCUUGUGGGGACCUCUGCUAGGCCAUUGUUGAACUGGGAGGCGAUUGACUAGCCUCUGGGCCCACCGCAUUUCCUCAUCAGACUACCGGUGGCUUGCUGAUCUCGGAGGAGCUUUUGUUGGCCGCCGUGCUUCUCCGCCGGAUUGACUGCUGCGGGUUGCCAGGCGUGAGGCGGCUGCUGGCUCUGCCUGGCCUCUGCAGAGUGCACAAGGCCUGUUGGGGCCUCUUGGGACCGCACUGGGGCUGUUGGGGCCUGCUGGGACCUGCCUGGCCCCUGCUAAAUUACGCUGAGUCAGGACCGGACCCACUUGAACUGUAUUAGGCCCCUUGCCAGACCGGGAGGUGGCUGUAGAACCGGGUUACCACCCGGAGGCCAAAGGAGAACAGAGGCCUCAGAAGACGCGGAGAGCCUUGUUUCAGAGCCGGCGCCAGGUAUCCUGCAAGGCAACAAAGUCAACCAAGUGAAAAUCUUGCAGUACAAGAUCAUGGUGGGCUUAAAGCUUCAGAAACUCCUGGCUUUCAGUGGGCAGUUUGCUGACAUCAGAAAAGGCACGUACAAGACUUGGAGAUGAGAUGGGGAAAGGAGGCGAUCCAUAUAUGCAUUGCAGUUUCCAUUCACUGAUUCCUUCCAAACUGGAUAAAGCAGAAGAAGGAGGUUUCUCUCAAGGCGCCUUCCUUCUGUAUCUCGCUGACAUGCUUGGUAACCUCACCACUGGAACAAAAAAAGUCUGUAGGAUCAGGAGCAAGAUAUUUCACCCGACAGCUGCAGUAAGUAUAAUAAAAUGCAACAGGACAUUAAAAAAAUCCAUUAUUGCUGCUUCCACUAUCAUCACUUCAAAAAAGAAGAGAAGCAAGGAAGAAGGCACUGUUUCAGGGCAGGCCUUCUGGAAUGGAGAGGUAAGAUAUGGAUUGUGGGGAGAGGGCUGGAAGAGCCAAGAAUGCUUUUCUGGUUUGAACCUGUUCUGAAUUGGAAAAGGAAUCAGGGGAGGAGGCUGGCUCUCUUAUCCUCCCUUUAUGUUUGGGAAUUUCUGAAGAGGAUGCCACUGGCAUCCCAGCAGCAGUAAUCCAUGGAGGUGACUGAUAGCCGUUAUUUUCAGGCCAUUUUUUAGACUACAAUGAACAGAAAAUGGUACACGGCCACGAUUAAUGAGUUCAGCAACAUGAUCUACCUUUCCUUUGUCAACAUGUUAAAAUACACUUGUAUUUUGUUUUCUUUGACUUAUUUAUUCAGUAUUUCAUAUCCUGCCAUUCUCUUCUUGAGCAGAGCUUGAAAUAUGAAUUUAAAACCACAUGUUUUAAGUAGUAAAUUCUGGAAAAAUUCAAUUAAAAUAUAAUUUGCAGAAAUGAAAAAAGAGUCAACCUGCAACAAUGGCUAUAAUUCAGCAAAGGUAGCUGAAAUAAUCUUUUCUUAUUUAACUGUCCCAAAGUUCCUCUAAGAAUGUAAAUUUAACAUUUUCGGAAGCCUUGGUGUGUCUACUGAGAUGUUUCUAUCAAAACUGAGGUUUUAAUUAAUUAUCACAAUAUAAUCUACAAUUCAGCCUGAGCCCUGCCACAUGCACAAUGGAGGACCUUCUCACAGUGGCACCAGAGGCACUGGAAGUGGCCAGCUUCUGAUCGAAGAAAAUUUAGUAUAAUGCCAAGUUUUUAACUUUGUGGUUUUUUGAUACAUUAUAACUGUAUUCUCAAUUUGCUUCUGACACAUCAAAUAAAUAAAUAAAUCUUAAUAACUAAUGGGUAGCUUCCAAGAUAAUAAAAACUACCAACAUCUUGUGGACUUGUUCAACAUUUUGGGCAUGGACAAAUCCUUCUCCUCUGGCCUGGCUCUGGAUUCUGUGGCCAAAGUGGAUGGGCCAUGUGGCUCUGGAAAACCAGGAUUCAAAUCCCCACCAGGCAGCCUUGAGCAAGUCACAGGAGGAAGACAAUUCCAAAGUCCCUCCUGUCAAAAAAAAAAAAAAGCCAUGAUAGCUUCACCAUAGGAUUUUAAUAAGUCAGAAAUGACUUGAAGACACACAGCAACAACACAACCAAGUUUGGAAUUGGUGCAAUUCAGCCUAAGUUAAAAGAAAUUGGAUGAAAAAGAAAAUACAUUUGUUACUGUAAUCCACCAACCAUGAGGAGGAGCUUAGAAAAAAGUUAGUCCUUAAGGGGAAAUAAAAAAAUCAUGUGGAUUAUAUUAACGUUAGCAUAUCCUUUUACCUAACAUCAGCAGUGUGUAAGAUCCAGGUAGCACAGCAGUAUAACAUCUAACGAUCCAUGUAAUGUGGAAUCUGCAGAUAACAAUGUAGCAUCCCUAGGUGAGCAGUUCAUCUUUUAUCACUUAUUAUGGCAAGCAAAUGGGAACACAUAAUGUGUAUAAACCCGGGAGGACCAGAGGAAGCAGGUUGAGGAAGAUGUUAUAGCAAAGCCUGCAGGAUUAUACUGAUCCAUUUAGUGACAUGCCUGUUCUAUAAAUCAUGACUCUCAUAGCAACAUUUCCUUUAUUUAUUACAGUUACAUCCACAUCCGAACAUGGCACAAAUAUUAACUAAUGCAAUACUAGUUAUGAUCCAUUCAUGAUCCUCCUUAUGACUCUCCCACAACAUUAUUCUCUUCCUUGGUUAUAAGUUUUUUGAAUUACAGUCUUGCACACAAUUACAAGUGAGUUUGGAAGGUUAUUUCAGAAAGCAAUCAGCUAUCAUUAUAAUUCCAAACUCACCCCCAGUAUAUUUAAAGUUUUUCAAAUGUAAGAUUUUACUUCCUAGUUUCUCAAAGGUAGUUAAAAUAGCUGACAUUUUAAUUUCUAACACACAACUGAAUGAAACACUGCAAGGUACUACAAUAUUAAUUUGAACCAUAUAAAACUUGCGGACCAAAAGGUGCCAGGUUCAAAUCCCAGGAGCGGAAUGAGAGCUGGCUGUUAGCCCCAGCUCCUGCCAACUUAGCAGUUCGAAAACAUGCAAAUAUGAGUAGAUCAAUAGGUGCCGCUCUGGCAGGAAGGUAACAGCGCUCCAUGGAGUCAUGCCGGCCACAUGACCUUGGAGGUGUCUAUGGACAACACUGGCUCUUCGGCUUAGAAAUGGAAAUGAGCACCAACCCCCAGAGUUGGUCACAACUGGACUUCACGUCAGGGAAAAACCUUUACCUUUUACCUUUUAAUAUUUCUUCUUGACCAUGACUAAGGCUGUACCUCUGUAAUUAUAAAAGUAAUAUUAAACAAGAUGGCUUGCACUAUAAAUUGAGUCACUUUGUCAUCAUAAUGCAAUGAAGUUUCUUCUAUUAUUGUUGGACACAGUGAGUUAAUUGCACAUAAAUGUAGUGUCCUAAAGGAUGGAUUAUAUGGAAGAAGGCAAUCCUGUAGGUAACCUGGACCCAAACCACAUAGAGAUUAAAAGGUUUUAGCCUACACUUGGUACGUUGCCUGAAAGAUAAUUGGCAACCCGUGGAUAGACUUUGAUAUGGGUGCUAGAUUUUC